GAGUUGGGGGAGAGGACCAGAACCACCUGCUGGAGAAGGGGAGCUACGGGGGCCGGGCAGGGUCCAAACGCCUCACGUAGGCGGCGGCGCCACGGUCUUCGGGGUCACAGGGAAGAGAAGGGCUCUCCUCAAGCGGGUGGAAGGAGGGAGGCCUCCCGAGGGAGUGAGACUCUAGGCCACUCCCCCGCAGCAAGGCAGGAUCACCUGCGACGCGGAGAGCGGUUAGAGGGCCCUGGAGUGGAAAAGGGCAGUGGGACCUGGUAGCUUGGGUUCCCUGCAACUUGGGGUUCGACCUCCAGGCAAUGAAGUAGGGAUGGUCCUGCAAGUCAAGAUUCCAGUAGCAAGAGUGCAUCAGAUCUCUGUAAGGAAAAUAACUAACAUUGCUCAGUUCCCUGUAGAGUUGCAGGGCGCUUUAACGUUAUCUCCCUUGGUUCUCCAUCAGGUCGUAGUGGACUAAUUUUACAGGCGAAGUUAAGUGACUUACCCAAAACCUCACAGCUAAUAAACGGCAGAGCCGGCACCCAGCUGUACUGGCUUCCAAUUCUGUUAGCUUACCAGCGCAUCACAUUAUCUCCAUAAAUCCCCAUGAUUCAACUAAUAUUAGACGCCCCACAGAGUCUCGCUACUCAAAACGUGGUCAGUGGCCCAGCAGCACUGACAUGAGGAUGUUAGUUAGAAACUCAGAAUCUCAGGCUCCACCCCAGACCUGCUGAACCAGCAUCUUCAACUUAACAAGAACCCGAAGAGAUUUGUGUCACAUCAAAAAGUUUGAGAAGCUCUGAUCUAGGUGAGCCAAGCCAGCAAAGAAAGGGGAUGGAGCAGAAAAUGGGAGGAGAAUAGGGUAACGCAGAAUCAUCAAGACAAGGUAAAUUGGAGUUUCACAAAAACAGGGCUGGAAGGAGUGUUGCUCAACAAUAUCCAAAACCACAGAGGUUGAAAAGCACAAGGAAAGAAGGUAUGUUUGCACUUUGUGAUUAGGUAGUAGGGUCUUUGAGACCACAUUGUUCUUAUUGAAAGCCUGGGAAGAAAGAUCCCCUUUCUGGUCAAGUUUAGUCUAGGGAUCCAUCCCAUCUUCCCCAGUUCCCACGUGUAUGGGACAUGUCGAGAUAAGUAGAUAGAUUGGACAGUGGGAGAAAGUAGUUCUCUUCCAGUUGCUUCUAUUUUCUCAGCAAAGUGAGGAGCAAGAUCAUUUUGGCAGACUGCUAAUUGUCCAUCACAAUUUAGUCUCCCUUUCUCCCUGAAAACACAGACUGCUUUUCUCAGCCUCUCUUUCAGUUGCAUAUGGUCAAGUAUUAAGUUAUAGAACGUGAGCAGAUGUUAUGUCUGCCACUGUCAGGCCAAGGCGUUUACUUUGAGAGUACUUGUGCCUCUUUCAUGCAUUUUCCUUUCUGCCAGCUGGACCCUGGACACGGUGACUCUGAUUCAAUUAUGCAGAUGACCACAAACCUCUGGGGUUGGCAGAGCCACAAGAAAGAAGGUGCCUGGAUGAAGGAGAGCUACCCACUGACCUGGACACCCAAUUAUAGGAUAGACAGUGAAGUGCAACUACAGCCCGCAAAUGAAAAUGAAUAAUAUUAAUCCAGCCCCUCAAGGCAGGCGAGUAGCUGCUGUCAUCUGUCUUAGAGCUAUUGGAAUCCUGGAUCAUUGUGGGAAAUGAAAGGAACUGGUUUUUAGCAAGGAGACCAAGAAACUCUACUCCCUAGGGGCUAGCAAUGAGAGAAAGGAAGCCUUAAGUCUUUGAGCACAGGGUGACAGUUUGGGUCCUAUGUGAGAUGAUCAAAUCCACAGCAACAGAGGAAAGGACAAAAGGAAAAGAUACUUCGAUGGAAUCAGCAGCCAUUGAUCCAAUGCCAACUCCAAGACUGGAACGUCGCAAUGAUAGUUCCAAGGCGGAAAUUUGACGUAAUUCUUUUCGACACAGUUUUACAGGCAUCUUGCAUGUGAAUAACUCACAACUUUAAUUCAUGGAACAAAUUGAGAAAUAGUCUUUUGGGGGUUUGGUACUCCCUGGAAACAUAAGAGUGCUUUGGGCACCUCUGGUGCCUUUCCAUGCCUGCCUUCUCUGCUGUUCUUGCUACUAGUGAAUUCUAAAUCAUGGCCAAGUGAUGCCAGCACUGGAUAAUAUUGGCUCUGCCCCAUAUCUCGAGGGAAAACUCUAGGACUUGGCAUUAUAUGUGUGGGAAUCUGGCCUUGGUUGGCACUCCCAGCAUGAUAGCGGGGUUCUCCUGUCUGAAUGUACUCUGGGGUGUGCGCCACAAUUUCUGUCAUCGAAAUGGAGAUGAGAGAAUAUGCCCUUGGUGGGGACACCCCACUGGAAUUAGAGUGAAGAGAUCAAAGCUAGAGGUUCUUAAAUCAAAGAAUAUCUAAUAGCAAAGACAAAAACUUGCUUAAGGGAAAUGCAUACAAGUACUAGACCUAAUAUGAUGAAAAAUGCCAACUUCAAUAUAUUGAUGCAUGCUUAGUACACUUUCAGUCCUGCAAAGACAAAGUUUUUUGUUGUUUUUUUUUUGAGACGGAGUCUCGCUCUGUCGCCCAGGUUGGAGUGC
rnacentral:lncRNA from 1 species